rnacentral:rRNA from 1 species
UACGUAGGGGGCAAGCGUUGUCCGGAAUCAUUGGGCGUAAAGAGCGUGUAGGCGGCUUGGUAAGUCCGCUGUGAAAGUCCAGGGCUCAACCCUGGAAAGCCGGUGGAAACUGUCAAGCUUGAGUCCGGAAGAGGCGAGUGGAAUUCCUGGUGUAGCGGUGAAAUGCGCAGAUAUCAGGAGGAACACCAAUGGCGAAGGCAGCUCGCUGGGACGGUACUGACGCUGAGGUGCGAAAGCGUGGGGAGCGAACAGG